rnacentral:rRNA from 1 species
UACGAAGGGGGCUAGCGUUGCUCGGAAUCACUGGGCGUAAAGGGUGCGUAGGCGGGUCUUUUAAGUCAGGGGUGAAAUCCUGGAGCUCAACUCCAGAACUGCCUUUGAUACUGAGGAUCUUGAGUCCGGGAGAGGUGAGUGGAACUGCGAGUGUAGAGGUGAAAUUCGUAGAUAUUCGCAAGAACACCAGUGGCGAAGGCGGCUCACUGGCCCGGUACUGACGCUGAGGCACGAAAGCGUGGGGAGCAAACAGGG